rnacentral:rRNA from 1 species
UACAGAGGGUGCAAGCGUUGUUCGGAAUUACUGGGCGUAAAGGGCGUGUAGGCGGUUUAACAAGUCAGAUGUGAAAUCCCAGGGCUUAACUCUGGAAGUGCAUUGAAACUGUUAGGCUAGAGUGCAGUAGAGGAUGGCGGAAUUCCCAGUGGAGAGGUGAAAUUCGUAGAAUAGUUGGGAGGAACGACCGGUGGCGAAGGACGGCCAGUCUGGGCUGUAACUGACGCUGAGGC